UGCUUACACUUGAUCUCUGAACUUCAGGUAAAGUUUGCCUGUUGAUAAGUAUAUGUCCUUAUGCA